UAAAGACAGAUCUAAAACUAACGAAAAACAUUAGAUUUUUUCUAUUUAACUUAUUUAUGAAUUUUAAUCAAGAAAAACGUAAUAAUAAAUCGUUACAGUCGUCGUUUUUCUAUGAAAGUAACUGUAACUAAUUUGAUUAGAUGGAAAAAUAGCCUAUUCAAAUUGUUGCUCUAAUUUUAAUAGUGGUGUUUUCAACCGUUGACAAGUUGCUAUCCUAAAGCUGCAUGGAAGCGACUGGAGUGUCGGGGGACCUAGCCAAGAUGCAAUGGCUUCAAGUGAUUUCUUGCCUUGCAUUGAUUCUUGUAGAACUAUGUUCAAUCGUCCAUUCCGUGAAGUUGCUAUGAUGCCUAAACUCCAUAUUAUAUACAUGUAGGAAUGGUAGGCAGAAUGAAACGGAACGUUAAGGUGUGUGAAAGAGAGAGCGAUGAGUGAGCGAGAAAAACAGAGAGUGUUGCGGUAUGACAGAAAAAUGGCGGUUGUUUGUUUUCGAAGAUGUAAAACAGUAAAAUCCUGAAAAUAAACAAGUUGGUACAAAAAUGUAAUCGUGUCCAUACACGUCCGUAAUAUAGUAUUUUAUUAGAUAUAAAAGUAAAUACCAAAGUUUAUUAUUUACUUAAAGUUACACUUAAACAUUAAAUUAAAAAGACUCGUGUUAGAUAAUAGCACUUUCAGUUGAAAAUAUUUUGAAUUUUAAUUUUUACUGCGUUUGUUACACGUGUUCUGACGAAUAUAUAUAAACUCAUAUAUAAGCUAGUGUUAUUCAAUUGAUUCAUAGACAUAAUUGAAGUAGAACGUAGCAAUCAUGAAGUUGGUUAUAGCCGCCAUCUUGGUUCUGACUGUUGGGGUUCUGAGUACCCCGUUAUUCACUUCAAUUGAUGACCUAAGAACAUCGCUAAAGGCUACGGGAGAGCUCUUAGAUGAAGCAGGGUCAGACCCAAGAAUUAAUGUGCAAUGUAUCAAAACACUAGUGGAAGAUAUAACAGCCUGUAGCAAAGAGGCAGAUAAAUCGAAACUGGUGACGUGCAUUUGGAAAACUUUGCUGAAGUUCUUAGCAUGCUAACGAGAAGUUAUGGUAAAAGAACGUCAAAAUACAAAAUUACUUAUAAUUUGCCUGCAGAUGUAAAAAAAUAAA